CCUACGGGAGGCAGCAGUGGGGAAUUUUGGACAAUGGGGGCAACCCUGAUCCAGCAAUGCCGCGUGAGUGAAGAAGGCCUUCGGGUUGUAAAGCUCUUUUGUCAGGGAAGAAACAGCAGCUCUAACACAGUCUGCGAAUGACGGUACCUGAAGAAUAAGCACCGGCUAACUACGUGCCAGCAGCCGCGGUAAUACGUAGGGUGCAAGCGUUAAUCGGAAUUACUGGGCGUAAAGCGUGCGCAGGCGGUUAUACAAGACAGGCGUGAAAUCCCCGGGCUUAACCUGGGAAUGGCGUCUGUGACUGUAUGACUAGAGUGUGUCAGAGGGGGGUAGAAUUCCACGUGUAGCAGUGAAAUGCGUAGAUAUGUGGAGGAAUACCAAUGGCGAAGGCAGCCCCCUGGGAUAACACUGACGCUCAUGCACGAAAGCGUGGGGAGCAAACAGGAUUAGAUACCCUGGUAGUCCACGCCCUAAACGAUGCUGACUAGUUGUUGGGAAUUUACAUUCUCAGUAACGUAGCUAACGCGUGAAGUCAGCCGCCUGGGGAGUACGGUCGCAAGAUUAAAACUCAAAUGAAUUGACGG
rnacentral:rRNA from 1 species